UACUGAUACUAGCACACCUACUGAAAAGUAGGGUCGCAAAACUAUGGGUCUAAGGGGAUUUUUCCUAUGAUUGCCAAGUAGCCAAA
rnacentral:ncRNA from 2 species